UACGUAGGGGCCGAGCGUUGUCCGGAUUCAUUGGGCGUAAAGAGCUCGUAGGCGGUCGUGUAAGUCGGGUGUGAAAUCUCCAGGCUCAACUUGGAGGGGCCACCCGAUACUGCUCGACUUGAGUCCGGUAGGGGAGUGGGGAAUUCCUGGUGUAGCGGUGAAAUGCGCAGAUAUCAGGAGGAACACCGGUGGCGAAGGCGCCGCGCUGGGCCGGUACUGACGCUGAGGAGCGAAAGCGUGGGUAGCAAACAGG
rnacentral:rRNA from 1 species